AACCCGCUCUUAUUCUUAUUCCCAUCACUGGUUUUUGUUAUUUUUCCAAUAAAAUUUCAAUUAGGAAUUUAAAAUCAAAUGGCAAAUACAUUAAUCUCUCUCAGAUCUCACUUCCUCUGCUAAUCAGAUUUUCAAUUGGUACCCAGCAAUCGACGGAUUCAAUGGCCUCCCUUCACAAAUUCAAGCUUCUCGCCACUCAAUGUGC
rnacentral:misc_RNA from 1 species